rnacentral:rRNA from 1 species
AUUGAACGCUGGCGGCAGGCCUAACACAUGCAAGUCGAGCGGUAGCACAGAGAGCUUGCUCUCGGGUGACGAGCGGCGGACGGGUGAGUAAUGUCUGGGAAACUGCCUGAUGGAGGGGGAUAACUACUGGAAACGGUAGCUAAUACCGCAUAACGUCGCAAGACCAAAGUGGGGGACCUUCGGGCCUCAUGCCAUCAGAUGUGCCCAGAUGGGAUUAGCUAGUAGGUGGGGUAACGGCUCACCUAGGCGACGAUCCCUAGCUGGUCUGAGAGGAUGACCAGCCACACUGGAACUGAGACACGGUCCAGACUCCUACGGGAGGCAGCAGUGGGGAAUAUUGCACAAUGGGCGCAAGCCUGAUGCAGCCAUGCCGCGUGUGUGAAGAAGGCCUUCGGGUUGUAAAGCACUUUCAGCGGGGAGGAAGGCGGUGAGGUUAAUAACCUCACCGAUUGACGUUACCCGCAGAAGAAGCACCGGCUAACUCCGUGCCAGCCGCCGCCGUAAGAC